GACGAACGCUGGCGGCGUGCUUAACACAUGCAAGUCGAACGGAAAGGCCCUGCUUUUGUGGGGUGCUCGGGUGGCGAACGGGUGAGUAACACGUGAGUAACCUGCCCUUGACUUUGGGAUAACUUCAGGCAACUGGGGCUAAUACCGGAUAGGAGCUCCUGCUGCAUGGUGGGGGUUGGAAAGUUUCGGCGGUUGGGGAUGGACUCGCGGCUUAUCAGCUUGUUGGUGGGGUAGUGGCUUACCAAGGCUUUGACGGGUAGCCGGCCUGAGAGGGUGACCGGCCAAAUUGGGCUUGAGAUAAGGCACAGCCUCGUACGGGAGGCAGCAGUGGGGAAUAGUGCACAAGGGGAGGAAGCAUGAUGCAGCAACGCCGUGGGCGGGAUGAGGGCCUUCGGGUAGUAAACCGCUUUCGCCUGUGACGAAGUGUGAGUGACGGUAAUGGGUAAAGAAGCACCGGCUAACUACGUG
rnacentral:rRNA from 1 species